rnacentral:rRNA from 1 species
GACGAACGCUGGCGGCGUGCUUAACACAUGCAAGUCGUACGGUAAGGCCCUUUCGGGGGUGCACGAGUGGCGAACGGGUGAGUAACACGUGAGUAACCUGCCCACAACUUUGGGAUAACGCUAGGAAACUGGUGCUAAUACUGGAUAUGUGCUCCUGCUGCAUGGUGGGGGUUGGAAAGCUCCGGCGGUUGUGGAUGGACUCGCGGCCUAUCAGCUUGUUGGUGGGGUAGUGGCCUACCAAGGCGGCGGCGGGUAGCCGGCCUGAGAGGGUGAACGGCCACAAUGGGGCUGAGAUAAGGCCCAGACUCCUACGGGAGGCAGCAGGGGGGAAUAUUGCACAAUGGGCGCAAGCCUGAUGCAGCAACGCCGCGGGCGGGAUGACGGCCUUCGGGUUGGAAACCGCGUUCAGCAGGGACGAAGCUUUUUGUGACGGUACCUGCAGAAGAAGCACCGGCUAACUACGUG